CUGGUAUCAUUAUAAAUGAAAGGUGAACAUGGCUGAAGGCGUCCAAAGUUGAAAAACUUAUAUUUCUAAAUAUGAACAGUACUAACUCCUGAAUUUCUUGUUACAGGUAGUGGAUUCGAGAGGCACACCAACACCAGCAGAUGAGUCUCCGUUUAAUACUUGGGAUAUUAUAACAGUAAGUUAUAGCUCCAGAAGUCAGUCACCAGCAGCAGAUGUCACACAGUUAUAAAACGAGAAACUUGAAGAAUAAG